CAUCCCUGGCAAUAGGCAAAGAAACACCCUGUUGGUUGUGGUAUUCUUACAUUUGUCAGUGGCAGAGCAGAUGACAGUCCUUUGUAUAUCCUAGUGUGAUGCUUAGCUUAGAGGCCAAAUCUGCUUUAUGCCUGGGACACAUAA